GAUGAACGCUGGCGGCAUGCCUAAUACAUGCAAGUCGAGCGAACAGACGAGGAGCUUGCUCCUCUCACGUUAGCGGCGGACGGGUGAGUAACACGUGGAUAACCUACCUAUAAGACUGGGAUAUCUUCGGGAAACCGGAGCUAAUACCGGAUAAUAUAUUGCACCGCAUGGUUCAAUAGUGAAAGACGGCUUUGGUGUAUCUUAUAGAUGGAUCCGCGCCGCAUUAGCUAGUUGGUAAGGUCACGGCUUAUCAAGGCGACUAUGCGUAGCCGACCUGAGGGGGUGGUCGGCCACACGGGAACUGAGACACGGUCCAGGCUCCUACGGGAGGCAGCAGUAGGGAAUCGGCCGCAGUGGGCGAAAGCCUGACGGAGCAACGCCGCGUGAGUGAUGAAGGUCUUCGGAUCGUAAAACUCUGUUAUUAGUGAAGAACAGAUGUGGAAGUAACUAUGCACGUCUUGACGGUACCGAAUCAGAAAGCCACGGCUAACUACGUG
rnacentral:rRNA from 1 species